UAGGUAGGUGGCAGGCGUUGUCCGGAAUUCCUGGGCGUAAAGCGCACGCAGGCGGUCUGUCAAGUCGGAUGUGAAAUCCCCGGGCUCAACCUGGGAACUGCAUGCGAAACUGGCAGGCUAGAGUCUUGUAGAGGGGGGUAGAAUUCCAGGUGUAGCGGUGAAAUGCGUAGAGAUCUGGAGGAAUACCGGUGGCGAAGGCGGCCCCCUGGACAAAGACUGACGCUCAGGUGCGAAAGCGUGGGGGGCAAACAGG
rnacentral:misc_RNA from 1 species